rnacentral:rRNA from 1 species
CUACGGGGGGCUCCAGUGGGGAAUAUUGGACAAUGGGGGAAACCCUGAUCCAGCAAUGCCGCGUGUGUGAAGAAGGCCUGCGGGUUGUAAAGCACUUUCGGUUGGGAGGACUGCUUCUAGCACUAAUAUUGUUGGAAGUUGACGUUACCUUCAGAAGAAGCACCGGCUAACUCCGUGCCAGCAGCCGCGGUAAUACGGAGGUUGCAAGCGUUAAUCGGAAUUACGGGGCGUAAAGCGCGCGUAGGCGGCUAGAUCAGUCGGGUGUGAAAGCCCCGGGCUUAACCUGGGAACUGCAUCCGAUACUGUCUAGCUUGAGUACAGGAGAGGAGAGUGGAAUUCCACAUGUAGCGGUGAAAUGCGUAGAUAUGUGGAGGAACACCAAUGGCGAAGGCAGCUCUCUGGCCUGAUACUGACGCUGAGGUGCGAAAGCGUGGGGAGCAAACAGGAUUAGAUACCCCCGUAGUC